rnacentral:rRNA from 1 species
CCUACGGGAGGCAGCAGUAACGAAUAUUCCGCAAUGCGCGAAAGCGUGACGGAGCAAUGCCGCGUGCAGGAUGAAGCCCUUCGGGGUGUAAACUGCUGUCAGGGUACAGGAAGAAAGUGACCAUACCCAAAGGAAGGGCCGGCUAACUUCGUGCCAGCAGCCGCGGUAAUACGAAGGGCCCGAGCGUUAAUCGGAAUCACUGGGCUUAAAGCGUACGCAGGCGGACAUGAAGGCAUCUUGUGAAAGCCCUCGGCUCAACCGAGGAAUUGCUUGGUGAACCACAUGUCUUGAGCCAAGUAGGGGCUGUCGGAACGCUAGGUGGAGUGGUGAAAUGCGUUGAUAUCUAGCGGAACGCCAAAGGAGAAAUCAGGCAGCUGGGCUUGGUCUGACGCUGAGGUACGAAAGCGUGGGGAGCGAACGGGAUUAGAUACCCCGGUAGUCCACGCCGUAAACGAUGUGCACUAGAUCGAGGGGGUUCUGACACCACUCUCGGUCGAAGCGAAAGUGUUAAGUGCACCGCCUGGGGAGUACGGUCGCAAGGCUAAAACUCAAAGGAAUUGACGG